rnacentral:rRNA from 1 species
AGCAGUCGCCGCGGUAACACAGAGGGUGCGAGCGUUAAUCGGAUUUACUGGGCGUAAAGCGUGCGUAGGCGGCUUUUUAAGUCGGAUGUGAAAUCCCUGAGCUUAACUUAGGAAUUGCAUUCGAUACUGGGAAGCUAGAGUAUGGGAGAGGAUGGUAGAAUUCCAGGUGUAGCGGUGAAAUGCGUAGAGAUCUGGAGGAAUACCGAUGGCGAAGGCAGCCAUCUGGCCUAAUACUGACGCUGAGGUACGAAAGCAUGGGGAGCAAACAGGAUUAGAUACCCCGGUAGUCCCUGUCUCUUAUAC